AAAAAAGAGGGCGGUAAUAUGAUACCAAAUAGUAUGAUGAGGGAGUUCCGUGAAUGCCUCAUUGACUGUGAGCUGGAGGAUUUAGGUUACAUCGGCGAUCCUUUUACUUGGAGGAGAGGUGAUAUUCGAGAGCGUCUUGAUCGCACAGUGUGCAAUGUAUGGUGGGCUCAUAAAUUUCCUCAUGCAGUGCUGAUUAAUGCAGAACAUAUUCAUUCUGACCAUUGCCAACUAGUCCUGGACAUGGACUAUCUGGAUGAUAAUAUUUUCAGACGACCAACGGGACGUAUAAAUCAAUUUGAAGCUAGAUGGCUAAAAGAAGACAUUGUGAAUGAAAUCGUCAAGACAUCUUGGGAAAAAGCUAAGUUAGCGUGUAUUGGCCCUUCGCUGGCCGAUCAAGCGAGAGCCGUCCAUGCUCAUUUAAAUAAUUGGGAUCAUAAAACUCUUAAGGGACCUAAGCGGAGAAUUAAUAAAUUAAAGAAAUAA
rnacentral:rRNA from 1 species